GAUGAACGCUGGCGGCGUGCCUAAUACAUGCAAGUCGAGCGAACAGACGAGGAGCUUGCUCCUCUGACGUUAGCGGCGGACGGGUGAGUAACACGUGGAUAACCUACCUAUAAGACUGGGAUAACUUCGGGAAACCGGAGCUAAUAUCGGAUAAUAUAUUGAACCGCAUGGUUCAAUAGUGAAAGACGGUUUUGCUGUCACUUAUAGAUGGAUCCGCGCCGCAUUAGCUAGUUGGUAAGGUAACGGCUUACCAAGGCAACGAUGCGUAGCCGACCUGAGAGGGUGAUCGGCCACACUGGAACUGAGACACGGUCCAGACUCCUACGGGAGGCAGCAGUAGGGAAUCUUCCGCAAUGGGCGAAAGCCUGACGGAGCAACGCCGCGUGAGUGAUGAAGGUCUUCGGAUCGUAAAACUCUGUUAUUAGGGAAGAACGAAUGUGUAAGUAACUAUGCACGUCUUGACGGUACCUAAUCAGAAAGCCACGGCUAACUACGUG
rnacentral:rRNA from 1 species